rnacentral:rRNA from 1 species
CCCUUAGAUGUUCUGGGCGGCACGCGCGCUACAAUGGUCUUCGCAAACGGAUGCAUUCUCGAAGGAGAAUGCCAAUCUUGGAAUCUAUGCCUUGGUCGGGACAGUUGCUUGCAAUUUUUCGACUCGAACCAGGAAUUCCUUGUAAUCGUGAUUCAUCACAUCACGAUGGAUACGUCCCUGCCCUUUGUACACACCGCCCGUCGCUCCUACCGAUCGAAGAGUUAGGUGAAUUGUUUUGAUCGAUAAGAUUUGACUAUGGUCAACACUCGUUGUGAAAUUCUGUGAAUCUGACUGUUUAGAGGAAGGAAAAGUCGUAACA